rnacentral:lncRNA from 1 species
UUCCCGUGGCUUCUGGAGUCUUCUAGAUGGUAGAAAAUUGCGCGGCACGUUAAUAUCUCUAUAUAAACCCGACGUGUGGGCCUUUCUUCCGUAUUUCCUGAUAACCCCCUACAGAAAGACACAAACACCAAAACUUGUGGAAUUCUGUCAGAUAAAACCCUAAGUCUAGGUGUUGGUUCCAUUUAGAUCCUUUUCCAUGAUUAGUUGAUGGUUAAAUGUGAGCAUUAAGGACCGUCAACAAGCUCCCCCAAGCUUAACGUUUGCUCGUCCCUAAGCAAAGAUGAACUCAAGAGUUUCUGCAGUGGUUUCAUGCCUUAAAGAUACACAUGCGUUUAAACAAGAUCUCAUAGCUGGUUAGAGUAAACUGUUAAGAAUUAAAACUUACUUAUUUACCUUUCACCAUGGGACUUGUAACCGUCACUUCUGUCUUGAGUAGUUAAAAGAUAGAACAGUCUAGUCAAGCACCAUGUCUCUUGUUCUUCGAUUAACUAUAGCUCUAGAGUUUUUGCAUAUUUUCAAAUAAAACUCAGAGAUUCCUUGUAUGACUCUCUCUAGUCUCUCUUUUGUGGUAUUUCUGGAUCCUUACCAAGGCAGUAAAGGUGUAUGCCUUCUCUCAAAGUAUGUGGUAUUUUUGGUAUGAGGCAUAGUGACAUUGCCUUCCUCUCACCCUACUCUAAUAAGGCUUUUGAUAUCUGGAGCUCAUAUGUGGGAGACAGCUAAUACACACUUACAAGACAUUUAUUGCAUAGUCAAACCAUGGAUCCAGAAGAACAAGUCAAUAAGUCAAAUCAAGAUGUGCAUGUGUGGCGAAUGAAUGGUGUGUGGUGAUGAUGGUGAUAACAAUGGUGAAAGUCUAAUUCUACUUGUGCUCUUUUGAGGGGAUACAUACCUUUCUUGCUCUUUUGAAACUUUUUGAGGAGAAUGAGAUGCUCUAUAUAUUUUUUUUCUUCUCUCAGGUGGGUAUCUUGUACUCCUAAUUCUACUCAUCUCACUUUUUUUUCUUUCGAGGUUCCGGGCACUUGCCCCUUUUUAUUUCCUCGUAUCUUCUUUUUUUUUCUUUUUUUUAGAGAGCACUCAUCUCAUGAAAUAAUAUAGCAAGUGGUAGUAACAAGAUAACUUGAGCAUUUAUUUCACAGGGGAAAAACAUAAAUAUUUUUGGCUAUUCUCUCCCGGAUUAGGAGUAGAAUAUUUUUGGGUGAUUCUGGAGAUGGAAAUUGGUGGAUAUAUGUGGAUGCGUACUUCCGGAGUAGAAGCAGCAUACGUGAGUGAACGUGCAAGUGAAUCUUGAUUUAACCACAUGACAAGCUCUUAAGGGUCUACACAGCUUGACCACACUCAAUGCUCAUAAGCAGUAAAUAGUAAAUAUGUGGCUCAAAGUCUAGCAAGUAUGUAUAUAUGGCUGUGGUAGGAAUUUAAACUCUCAUCAUACAGGAACUCAUCAUGCAAUAUUUUAAAGAUUUUUCAAAGAUAAAAUUCUCUAGAAUUCUAGCAUCUCUAGGAACAGAUAAACAGCAGCUCAACCUUCCCAUAUCAUAUCCGUUAACGACUUAGACUUCAGAUCAAGUACUCUUCCCACAAGUUCAGGUUUAGAGAAAAUCUUAAUUAAUAACAGUUAGGCCUAAACUUGAGAGAGAUUUCAAUUUUGAGAACUAGUCAUGGCAGAGCAACUAUUCAUCAUUUCCAUGUGAGAGCUUAUCAUGAGGGUUCAUAGCAAACUUUAUUUAUUUAUUUAUUUAGCAAACUAAGCAAAGAUAUAUAUAAGCACAAAAUUUUUAUUUGGGUUUUUAUGAUCAUGCAUCUUUUUAUUAUUUGAGUAAAGUAUAAACGUGAGUAGAACACUUAGCUGGAUAAAUGGGGGUGCUCUCCCCCAAGCUGGAUUUUGACGAAAUUUCUUCUGAUGUAGCUAGCAGCUGGCGGAGGUGUAUUUGAAUGUCUGCAGCACUCUGACAGCGAGUAGGAUAUCCUCUGUCUGCUAGUCUUCUUUGAUCCUUGAAUUCUGUGGAGCUCAAAUAGACAACAAAGCUUUGUGGAACUAGUUAAAUGUUAGCAUAAGUAUCUAGCCUUUAUCAUGUUGAGCCUCCUCAAUAAAUGUUACUCUCUUUAGUAUGAUCAUAAAUUUAUUUUCAUAUUUUUAUUUAUUUUUAUAUUUUUAUUUUUAUAGGACAGGGAUAAAUUUAUUUUAUUUUUAUGCCACCACAGUGAAUGUACUUAUGGGUUUUAUGCCAUGAGCAUACUCACAUGGGGCUUACUAUUUUUAACAUUUUUAUUUUCUUUUUAAGAUGAUAUGAACCUGAUUAACUAAGCAAACUAUUUUAAAUAAUUGAAAGGGAAAAAGGAUAACUACCAAGUUUACCUCUUGGCAAGGCGUUCGGUGUUUUUAAGUCCUCCGAACGGGACUCUCCGUUUUUUCAGUCGUCCUGGGAUUCGCUGGAUGGCGUAGUCAGUGGUUCCGGCGGCGCCUCCUCUUCAUGUAUAACUAUCUUCUUUCUCCACACCUGCCUCGGUGCACUUCUCCUUCAUACUCUGCCCAUCCGUCCUUGAUGAUUUUCCUCCUCUGGUUGUGGUUGCGUCAUCUUCUUCUUGUCCUGACCUGCUUGGAGUCUUCAACUAUAUAGUUAGGGUCAGUGAAAUAGCGGCGUACCUUCUAAGAGGGGAAAUGCGUGUGGACUUCUCCGGUUCCAAUGUAGAAGAUUGCUUUAACGGUGCUGAGGAACAGUCUCCCAAUGAUGACGAGUGGAUCGAAUUCGUCUUCUCCCAUGACAAUAACCUUUCGGAAUGUCUGAUCUGCCAUAUGAAGCUGAAUGUGUGUCGGUUUUAGGGGCAUGGUUCCGAAUAGGAGCUGAUAGGUGACUGGCGGCCAUUAUGUUGACGCUUGACCCAGUGUCGCAAAGCAUCUUCUGGAAGUUGUAUCCAUCAAUGGAGCACUGGAUGCUUGGCAUACUUGGGUCGUCCUUUUUGGUCAGGGACGGUGACUUAAGUCGACGACCUUGACCUCCUUGAACUGCAGUGAUCAUCUUAGCUGACUCGGUCCAGAUUUGCUUGUUCCUGUUCCUCCUGUUGGUUCUCUUCCUUGGUUCAUGUCGGGAUUGCUCUGAGAUUUGUGUAGUCUUAUUCUUGAAGGAAAAUGUCUCCUUCCUUCCCUUUGAUGUAGAAACUGAUCUUGGUAGCACUAGCGUAGAUGACAACUCCCGAGGUGUUCAGGAAUGGCCUCCCUAGGAUGAUGGGUGCCCUCUCAUCAGUAUCAGUCUCUAUCACCACGAAGUCUGCUGGAGCGUAUAAGGUACCAACUCGGACGUAGAGGUUCUUCAAUAUUCUCUUUGGGAAACUUAGUGUCUGAUCUGCAAGCUGCAAACACAUGGUUGUUUCUGAUAAAGGAUGUGUAAAGAAUUUUUCAUAGAGUACCCUGGGCAUAAUGUUGACGCUGGAGCCAAAGUCGCAGAGUGCUUCUGGGAAGUUCACCAUGCCGAUGGAGAUCGGGAUGACGGUACGUCCUGGAUCGCCUCUCUUGACCGACAGAAGGUCAGUAAUUACUUCCACAACGGGGUUACUCCAUCUCAGGGCAUUGAUUGCCUUAGUGUCCAGUCUCUCCAGUGUGUUUGUGCUCGUAGAUCUAGGUUCUUCACUUGGUGGAGUCUGGGAGUUGUAAAAGUCCUUCAAAUUUUGCUCAAAGUGUACCUGCUCAUAGAGACAAGGCAGAGAUCAAGUGCAUGGGCCCUGUUGGUGGAAAACACCAACAGAACCAAAAAUGUAUUUGCUCUUCUCUAUCCUUAAGCAUAGUGAGCAAGACACAGUUGAUGGAUAAUAAGAUCAUGAGUGUAGUAUUUAACAUUUGUCAGAUUAGAUUGCUCAACCAUAUGGAAAGAUAAUCUAUCUAAGUAAAUGUUUUUCUUUCUUUACAUGGCUAUCAUUUUCCAAAGAUUGAGUGUGCAACAUUUUAGUUCAUAUAAUUAGGAGUGUGGGAUCACAAAGAUGAAAGGACUAAACAUAUUGAAUCAAUUUGGUUGGUUAAUCUAGAGUUGUAAAUCAUAUAUGUUUGUCUCUUUUACUCAUGUGAAUGCCAGAACCAAGGAGAAGCUUUAUAAAAGUGAUAGUCAAGUACCUUAAGAUGUUACCUUACUUGAAGAGUGAUGGUACAGUAUCACCUUGUGGAAGCUUUCCUCUCUUAGCGGUUGUGUAUCGUGUUUGUGGCACCUCCAUGGAUCAUCUCUUGUGAGCUAUGCCUUCCUUGUGUAAAUUGUUAAACUUCAUGUGUGUCUCUCUUUGUCUCCAAUGUGAGUUUAUCUCAGGACUUCCUAGGUCGAUAUUGAAAGUUUUCCUGCAGGGGUUAGUCCAACAAAAUAUACCAAUGUCUACACAAGCAGUUUUUAGUUCAAUAACCAAACUAGACUCUAUGUCUAAUUAGAUUAAGGAAGGCUGUUUAACCUAAGCACCAUGCUUAAUUUAAAAACCAAUAGAAGUAUGUACAGUACUUCGAAACUAACACUUACUAGGAUAAACAAAGGUAGCGUGAUGGCUUUUAUAGAGAUCUACUCAAGUGGAGAUGAAGUAGUGUGAUUAGUAUUUAACAAAUUGAGCAUGUCUCAAAGGUAGGGACAACCAACAUAGCAACAUGACAAAGGAUGUUUUUAUGUAAAGUACUCCCCCAAUCUUGAAUUUUGCAAAAUUCAAGUUUGGAUGAAUUUAAUUCAAUGUUGUAUGAUGAUUGGUUGUACAUACCUUGUGCUUAUCAUUCAUCCGAUCUUCUUGCUCCAAUCCUGAAAAGGUUAGUGACAAGAAUACCCGAAGGAAUAUUUUUACAAUUAUCCUAAUAUGCUCAACACACAAGGUAAUGUUGCAAAUAAUUAAAAGCUCAUGUUAUGAUCUGAUCAGUGCUUGUUUUAGGACACUAAGCUUGUCCUUGGGAAACCAUCAAUUUAUGUCAGUGAAGUGGUUCCCCCUCCAACGCUGACCUAUAUCAAGAUCAACUCAACGAGAUCUGCAAAAUUUAUUACAGACAUAUGCAUCGACAACCGCCUUUUUAAAGUUUUUAUAAAUAGAAAGGAUGAGGGGGUUGGAGAUCUCGAAUGUGGUGAUGUUGGAGAGACCAAUGGUUUGAUAAGAUGUUGCAUAUGAGCAUGGAGCAAAUGAAGUGGCUAUGAAAUAAAUUCCAUGCUCAUUAAUGCUUAGAGUGAAAUCCAUGUGGUGUGGUGAAAAUGAUAAGGUGAGUAUGGUAAAAAAGGAAAAGAAAAAGGAUACACGGACGACUUGGUUCGAAACUAGCACAGCUACCGUUCCCCGGCAACGGCGCCAGAAAGCUUGUUGGGUAUUUUAAACGCAAACAGAAAAAUCCGCAAGCGCACGGAUACCGAUGUAGCCUUCACCCGGGAGUAUUCCAGAGUAUCGAUUUUCCGCAGGGAACGUGAGUGUACUAAUUAAGAUCCAAGAUCACCCAAGGAUAACUAUAAUUAUUUUUGGUGGGAAGAGAGGAUGUUUCCUGAGAGUUCUCUAGUUGAUCUAAGAAUCAAGAAUUACUUCAAGAUUAUGUAUUUCGGGACAUCAGAGCACUAACCACAGAAAGAGAUGAGAAGGGGGCUAGGAAGGUCUGACUACGGUCAUACAAACACCGACCCGAACGUGGUGGAAUACGUCGACCGUUAGGGCUGUCACUACCCUAAGGCUACCACAACAAUCCGCAGGAUUGGAUGCAAUUCCAGGUAAUUGCAAGACUAAACACCACGUCUAAUCUAUUAAUUACUACUCUAAUGUUUCAAAGAUUAGAGCACUUGAUGCAAGCGGGAAUCCAAUAAAUAACUUGAAUGUAAAUAAAAGUAAUUAGAGAACUCAGGAGUUAUGAAUUGAAGAACCUGGAGAACGAUGAAGAAUGAACCAGAUGCUGCAAAAGUACAAUGUUGAGGAAGAUCCGACAGAUCCGGCUCCUCCUCCGCUCUCCUCUUCUCUCUCCCUAUUUUCUAGAUUACAACUAGAACUAACUAGAACUAGAACUAGAGGAACUUGAACUAGAACUAGAUGAACUAGAACUAGAUCUAGAUGAACUAGAGGUAGAACUAGAAGAACUAGAGGGAUCCUCUCUACUUGGAUGAAGACUUGAAACCCUAGCUUUGAUUCUGUAGAAGAGGUAUGAUCUCCAGGGGCCAGGGGGGUCUGGUUUUAUAGUCCCUUCAAGUGAAUCUGGGCCGUCGGAUCAAACCGACAUUGAUCACACGGUUUUCCUUGAUCCUUUAGGUCGGUGGAGCAUAAUACGCGAAACGGGUCCGAAUUGGACACUGUAGCUGGACGGGCGCCCAGGAGAGUUGGGCGGGCGCCCUGCCUCCGAGCCCGAUCGGCCUCCCGUUCGUUCCCGUGGCUUCUGGAGUCUUCUAGAUGGUAGAAAAUUGCGCGGCACGUUAAUAUCUCUAUAUAAACCCAACGUGUGGGCCUUUCUUCCGUAUUUCCUGAUAACCCCCUGCAGAAAGACACAAACACCAAAACUUGUGGAAUUCUGUUAGAUAAAACCCUAAGUCUAGGUGUUGGUUCCAUUUAGAUCCUUUUCCAUGAUUAGUUGAUGGUUAAAUGUGAGCAUUAAGGACCGUCGACAGGCUUAUAAUGCUCCGGGGCUUGGCUUCGACGUAGGUGGACGGGCGAUGGUCGGGACACUCCGGCAAGUCCUCCUCCUCCUCAGUUCCUUGAGGUGGCUCCCCUUGUUGACCUUCCGACUCCGGCAGCUUGGACUCCAACACGGUCACGCCCUUGGGUACACCUAUGUAUGCAUGACAAGGGAAUGAAUAUAGAGAAUGCACAUAUGUUGCAUGAUGUCAUGAUGAAGAGCCAAAGGAACAUAAAACAAGGUAUAACAUGAGCAUACACUCCUAAAAUUAAGUGAAUCAUAGGAUAACAAGUAAGUGCAUACUUCUUCUCUGGUAGAGAGGCUAACUAGACAAGUUAAACAACCUUAGUCACUCCUAUUCAGCCACUGGUUUUGCAGACAGACCAACUUGUCACAAGUUUCGGCUAUAACUUAAGCAUCAUUUGGCCAAACUAAGCAAGUAGAUACUUUCUGGAAAGCUUAGUAAAUUGUCUCCAAUUUUAUUUCAGACAUCCCAGAAUGAUUCCCAACCAAAAUAUGCUAAAUCAUACAAAGUUGGCUGGCUGCCCUGGAAAAUCCAGAGAGCAAGCACUUUGCAGCAGCCACUUGUAACAUUCAUAACUUUUAAACUACUCAACCAAAUGUCAUGAAACUUGGAUACGAAGUAGAUAAGCAAGUUAGCUACAAGUUUGUUAUGGACAAGUUUCCCAGAAAACAUCAUCUUCAAUUAAUUCUUAAGCAAUUGCUAUCAGCUACCCAGAAUUGCUCUAGGAAAGGCAUAAAUAGCAAAAAUAAUAUUUUGCACAUAAUAAAAAUGUAUCAAAGGGUCAAUCCAAUUGUACCAGUAGAUGGAACAUGUCUAAGAAACACUAUAAAACAUCAUGGCAAGGUCUAAACUUAUUUCUAUCAUCACCUUUUUCAUUUAUUUAGUUAUUAAGGUGAUUUAAUGAACAUUCAUCCAAAGUGCUCCAAGAAUUCUAAGAAAAUUACAGCAAGCUACUUAUGCCAACAUAAGGUUGAUGUAACAUUUUCAGGGCACUUACACAUACAGCUUGUAAGAUACAAAAAUAACAAACUAGCAAAGGCAUGCAAGGCAUAAAUGUGAAAUCCUACUUAAAGUGUCAAACAACAUAUUUCAGAUUUUUCCUAGCUUUGUUUACCCAUGAGUACAACACUCAGCAAGUUUCACCAUAAAAGGAGCUAUAACUUAUUUAUUGAAAAUACCACAAGAAACUCCUAUUUGAUCAAGAAUUAUUUAUAACUUCACAAUCAGGCCUCCAAAAAUCAUGAUAAAUUUAUCAGAGCCUACCCAUAUCAUAAGUAACAACACCCUAAAUUUACAUGGCCAGCAGAUCAACAGGUCUCAAGAUAUAAUUACCUCCUAAUAAAUCAAGAUUAAAUUAUAUCUAUUUAUUUCCACAAAAACAUGGCAUUUUUCAUAUUUUUAUUAAAAACUAGACUUGUACAGGAACCUAACAAAAUUGGAACCACAUCGUUUGGAUCUAUAAAACUCCAGAUAUGAAUUUUAUAAAAAACAGCAAAGAAUCUGCUACACAGUGACCAGAGAUGUGAGAGGGAGAGACUGACACCCGAGACCCACGCGACAGAGAGACAGAGACAGGGGAGACGCUCGUCGCCGGCGAAACUCGACGACGGCGAGGUCUCGGUCGGAUCCAAGGGCACCUACAUGUUCUUCUCAUCAAGGCGACUCUGUUGACCUACUUCACUCACGCUCUACUGGACCCUAGGGUGCUCGCCGUCGGGAAUGGCGGCUCGGCGGCGCUGCGGGCGAUACGCCGGCGUGCCCGGCCGAUGCCGUCCCGGUUGACGUUCACGCCGAGCAUCAGUGAGCCAAGGGAAAGUGAUGGAAACAAGAAUGGAUGGAAAUGGUGGAGCAGAGAGGCCUGGCCACGUCGCCGGUGAGCUCGGGGCGGAACUCCGGUGAGGGAGAACGGCUCGGAGCUCGGCAAUGCCGCCUCACCUGUGAUCGACAGUGGCCAAGGAGGUGACGCCGAGGUAGGGGAAGCUUUGGCGGAGCUCCUGGCGGGCUAGUUUGGCCGGAGGCGCGGUGGAGAGGCCGGAAAAGCUCGCCGAGACGCGGCGGAGCUCACCGAGGCGAUGGCGGAGCGAAAUGGGAGGCUCUGGUGGAGUGGAGGUCGCGUCUGACGCACGGGGUGGCGUCGUGGCGUCCAAGUGAAGGCGUUGGGGCUGACAGGCGGGGUCGCCGUCGACGAACGGCCACCACGGGUUGUCCACGCGUCGGCCGGCCGACGACUGACGAAACUGAAUCGCGCGAUUCAGUCGUCGUCGACCGUGUCUGAAACCGAAAGUUCACCGACGUUUUACUCUCAACUCAGUCGAUGGUUUUGGCUCGAAUUUGAUCCUUUGGACAGAGCUACACAAGUCCUACAAGUUUGCUUACAAGAUCAAAGCCUAACUCGGUCUAGAUUUCAAUCUACAAGGCUCCUAACAACCCUACCUCGAAACUGUGUGAUUCAAGACUUAGCCAAAUUCGGCUACGUGUGAAAUCAGCCCUUAUUUUUGGCUUGUGAGUAAAUUUUGGAUGUGUUCUAAUCUUUUUCAUAAAAAGUCAUCAACAUAACUUUUAUAGCUUAUGAAAUUUACUACAACUUUUUUUCAGGUGUCACAGACAUGGAAGGUUUCUAACAUGAUUUUCAUAAAACAUCUUUCAAGAGAGGUCUAGGGGGACAAUUAGGUCAACCUAGGGUUAACCAUGACUUAGAGACAUUUUUGGCCAAAACCUUCAACAUGAACUUUGUUCAAAAUGAUGUUCUAAACAUGAUUAAAGUAUUUUGGAAGACAAUGUACACUUGUAUGCCUUAGUCACCCAUUACAAUCAACCAUAGCAAGUCAUGUAGCAAUUUAAUCACAUAGUACAUGUAGCAAAUGGCAUGUGAUCAUGGUAUGAUGCUCAUGAGUGAUCAUGAUGAUGCUUAUGUUGAUGCAAUGCUCAUGGUUAACAUGCAAGCUAACACUAGGAGUGUUACAGCCCUCCCGCCUUACAAAAAUCUCGUCCUGAGAUUUGAAAGACGUACCAUUUUUCAUAGAAUGAGGGAUAAGUUACUUGUAAAUAGUCCUCCCUUUCCCAAGUGGCAUCUCUUUCACUUUGACGGUUCCACAAAACUCUAAAAAGUUUGAUUACUCUCCAACGAGUAACUCGUUCCUUGACAUCAAGAACUUGUACAGGCUUUUCUUCAUUUGAUAGAUUAGACUGCAACUUUAGGCCUCUUGUUUCAACUCGCUCUUUGGGCACACGAAGACACUUCUUGAGUUGAGACACAUGGAAUACAGUUAAAAUGGUUCCAAGUUCCGGAGGUAGUUGUACUUUGUAAGCUACCUUGCCACUUUUCUCCAUGAUUUGAUAGGGACCCACAUACCUAGGGGCCAGCUUUCUUUUUACACCAAAGCGAUUUACUCCUUUCAUGGGCGAUACUUUUAGGUACACAAAGUCACCUACUUCGAACUCGAGUGGUUUUCUUCUCCUAUCCGCAUAGCUUUUCUGUCUAGCUUGGGACGCUUUCAUGUGUUGCUGAAUAAUGAGAACUUGUUCUUCGGCUUCUUUGACAAAGUCAAUUCCGUAGUACCUCCUUUCGCCAGGUUCGACAUAGUUUAGAGGAGUUCUACAUUUGCGGCCAUACAAAGCUUCAAAAGGAGCCAUUUUGAUACUUUCUUGAUAACUAUUAUUGUAAGAGAAUUCAGCUAAGGGUAGCCAGUUCUCCCAUGCACCAUUGGAAGAUAUCACACAUGCUCUCAACAUGUCCUCUAAAAUUUGAUUCACACGCUCAGUCUGGCCAGAGGUUUGAGGGUGGUACGCUGAACUGCGAAUCAAUUUUGUACCAAGGAGCGAAUGCAGGUGUUUCCAAAAGCGAGCAGUGAACUGAGGACCCCUAUCAGAAAUAAUGGUGCGAGGCACUCCAUGGAAUUUAACAAUCUAAGAGAAGUAUAACUCCGUGUAGUCGGAUAUUCGGUGUGUCGACUUCACGGGGAUAAAAUGGGCCGACUUGGUCAAACGGUCAAAAAUCACCCAUAUGGAAUCGUGUCCCUUUUGGGUAGGGGGAAGGCCAACAAUGAAAUCCAUGCUAAUUUCUUCCCAUUUCCAACCUGGAACUGACAAGGGUUGCAAUAAACCUGCAGGUUUAAGGUGAACUGCCUUUACCCUGCAGCAAGUAUCACAGCUAGCAACAUAAGCUGCUAUCUCCUUCUUCAUCUUGGUCCACCAGAAACGAGGUUUCAAAUCUUAGUACAUUUUGCUACUACCCAGAAGAAUGGACAAUUUGGAAGAAUGGGCUUCCUCUAAAAUUUUGUUGCGUAGGUUGCGGUCUUUAGGUACAACUAGUCGAUCGUCAAACCACAGUACACCCUUCUCAUCUACCCUGAAAUGCUUGGUGUGUUGCUCUUGCAUUUUUCUUUUGAUAUGGAAAAUACCAGGAUCAGACUUUUGGAGCUCUAUGAUUUGACUCUCUAAUGAGCAGCUGACUACUAUGUUGUGCAAGACCACCGGAUGCAAUGGAUUGAAGCCUUCCUCUAGGAGAGGUCUAACAUGUUGUUUUCGACUGAGAGCAUCGGCUACAACAUUGGCCUUGCCCGGAUGAUAGUGUACUUCUAGAUUGUAGUCUUUUAUCAACUCCAACCAUCUCCUUUGUCUCAUGUUUAGCUCGGGCUGAGUGAAUAUAUAUUUGAGGCUCUUAUGGUCAGUGUAAAUGUGACAUAGAUUACCCAACAGAUAAUGCCUCCAGAGUUUUAGUGCGUGUACAACUGCUGCUAACUCUAGAUCAUGAGUCGGGUAGUUGGCUUCAUGUUUCCUGAACUGCCGAGAGGCAUAGGCAAUAACUCGGCCUUCUUGCAUAAGCACACAACCUAGGCCAGUGCCAGAAGCAUCACAAAAGACAUCAAAUGGCUUUUCAAUGUCAGGAUGUGCCAGAAUAGGAGCGGUGGUCAGCAAAUGGCAUAAAGUGGUGAAAGCGACUUCACACUCCUGGGACCAUAAAAACUUCACAUCUUUUUGCAGUAGCUUGGUCAUAGAGUUAGCUAUUUUGGAGAAUCCGGAAUAAAGCGCCGAUAAUAUCCAGCUAGACCGAGAAAACUCCGAACCUCGUGCACUGAAGUCGGGGCCUUCCAGUCUAGAAUCUCCUGCACCUUUGAUGGGUCAACAGAAAUUCCCUCUUCGGAUAAAAUAUGGCCUAGGAAAGGCACUUUCUUCUGCCAAAACUCACACUUGCUGAACUUGGCAUAGAGCUGAUAUUCUCGCAAUCUAGUGAGUACAAUCCGAAGGUGCUUCUCAUGUUCUUGGGCAUUUUCAGAAUACACCAAUAUAUCAUCAAUGAACACCACCACAAACUUAUCCAGUUCAGGCAUGAACACCGAAUUCAUCAGGUACAUGAAAUGAGCAGGGGCAUUAGUCAGACCAAAGGACAUGACUAGAUACUCAUAUAACCCAUACCUGGUAGAGAAAGCCGUUUUAGGAAUGUCUUCCGGUCGGAUCUUGAUUUGAUGAUACCUAGAUCUUAGAUCAAUCUUGGAGAAUACUUUCGCCUUGGCUAAUUGAUCAAACAGGAUAUCAAUGCGAGUGGAGAUUUGUUUUUAAUAGUCACGGCAUUCAGCGGACGAUAGUCUACACACAUACAUAGAGACUUCUCCUUCUUCUUGACAAAGAGAGCCGGACAACCCCAUGGAGAAGAACUAGGCCGAAUAAGACCCUUCUCUAGGAGUUCUUGCAACUGCUUUUUCAAUUCUGCCAAUUCGUUGGGUGGCAUUCGAUAUGGCCUUCUAGAGAUAGGUGCGGUACCCAGAAUUAGAUCAAUUUUAAACUCAAUGUCUCGGUCCAGUGGCAAACCACGCAGAUCCUCUGGAAAGACAUCCAGAAACUCACAUACUACAGGAAUCUCUGCCACAGUGAGUGGUCGAAUAGCAUUGGCAGCGUGACGGAUGUCAGCAUUCUUGGGAAGCUGGACUAAGAAGGCUUCUUUGCUAUCAGGCUCGCGCAACAUGACUACCCUCGUGGAGGUAUCCAUUAACACCCCAUGCCUACUCAUCCAAUUCAUUCCCAGGAUAACAUCUAUUCCCAAACCUGGCAAGAUUACUAAAUAUUCUGCAUAAUCACGCCCUUCUAUGGCAAUAUGUACAUCCCUCACUACUUGAUUUGUAGCGAUUUGAUUACCAGCAGCGCUAAUGCAAAAUUUGCCACUGUCAAGAUCAACUACAUGCUGCCCAUGCUUAGAUGCGAAUGCUUGACUCAUAAAUGAAAGCGAAGCUCCAGAAUCAAACAAGACAACUGCAGGUUUUUGAUUAACAAGGAACAUACCAGCGGUGACCACUUCACCUUUAGGGAUUUCUUCAACAGUGGUAUAGUGCACUCGGCCAGUACGGUUGUUACCUCCAGCUGCAGAAUUCCUCUUGGGAUAAGGGCAAUCUCUCGCCCAGUGACCAACUUGUUUGCAAUUUAAACAGGGACGGUUAUCAGGGGGAGUCUUGGGACCUCCUUGACCUGUGGCACCUCUUGGGAGAGCAACUGUGAAGGACUUGCGAACUGCCGUCUUCACAUUUGACUUUUUCUGCGGCGGCCUAUACCUUGUCACAGCAUUUGGUUGGCGAUAGGCUGGCUUAUUUGUCAUUGGAGCCUUUGACUGUGAAGCACCUGCCUCAUAGGCCCUCUUGCGGUUCUUGGAUGCGGCAUACACGGCAUUGGAGUUCUCUUGAGUCAACGCAUCACUCAUAAACUCAUUAAAGGUUGUGUCCCAACCCUCACUUAUAAACUCUUGUUACCAGCCAUGUUCUUGGACAGCUUGUGUCCCAACCCUCACUUGAAACUAGCAAGCUUCUUGACCUCAGUAUCAACCAUUUCAGGAGCAUAGCGAGACAAAUUAUUAAAAGCAUGAAGAUACUUAGUCAAACUUUUAGUGCCCUGUGUCAGGUUCAUGAACUCGGUAUGCUUGAUAGUCAUUAAGCCUUGGGGAAUAUAGGUGUUCCUGAAAGCAGUUUUGAACUGAUCCUAGGUUACAACAGCAUUGGCAGGCAAGCUGGUCCUGUAAUGACUCCACCAGACACCUACUUUGCCCUCCAACUGGUGGGCUGCAUAUUCCGCCUUUAACUCUUCAGUCACACUCAGCAAGCGGAACUUUUGCUCGAGAGUGUUGAGCCAUUCAUCAGCUUCUAGAGGUUCAACAGCCUCCUUAAAAAGCGGCGGCUUCGUAUCGUGGAAAUCCUUGAAACUACUGUGCUGAUUUGCCUCUCCACCUUGACGGACAUGGCGACCACCCCGGUUUUGCUGCGCCAUGGUCGGCAUGGCUUCAUUGAGCAUUCGCUGGCCCUCAACAAGAGCUGCCAAGAGCUCAGCAGGUGUAGGCAGGGGAGGAGGUGGUGGUGGCGGCACCUCAUUGUGACCGCAGCGAGUAUCGCGAGCCAUCUGCACAAGGCAUACCAAGUGACCGUUUAGGACAACAAAUAUAAUUGCCAUGAACCUCAAUUGCUGCCAUACGGAAUUUAAUGAAAUAAAUUCACAUAAUUUAAGGCACAAUAAUCCAUGUACAACAAGAGAAUAUCAUCCACGACACUUGGUUAUUCUCGCGAUCAUUCACAGCCACAAUUCACAAGGAUUAAAGUCAUUGCAGAAAAUUAUUUAAGCUCAACAUAAACAUGGAGCAUCACAAAUAAGUGCAUAGGGUUACAUAGAGUCAUUGCCACAACUUAAGUCUUACAGAAGGGGCACCAUGGCCAAAUACAUAGAGUCUCAGCUGAAAUUCAGAUUACAUGCCCAUUACAUAAAGAGAUGGAAACUGAUACAUGAGCAUGGAAAUCAUUGCUAGGCUACAUAUCUUCCUCAGAUUCUCCAUUAGAAAUGAUGCCAUCAUCCUGAUCUUCCUCACUGCUUCUUCAUGAUUAACGGGGACAGGAUGUGGGAUAGGAUUUAUAGUAUUAUUUAGGCAAUGGAUAUCUAACUGCAGCUCAGCAAUCCUAGUGAUCAGUUCUUCCUCUCUAAUUUCAGCAUGGAACAAAGCUCUAACUCUAGGAGCUUCUCUAUUCUCUGCCAAGCGCAUAGCCUCAUCUCUCUCUAGUCAUUUGCAUCAUGCAGGCUUGUGCCUCAUUGCGCUCUCUGACUGCGUGUUCAACUUGGUGGCGGUGGGCUUGCAAAGCGGUGUGAUAGUUUUGGAUUUCAGCUUGUGCAUCCCUAAAAGCCUUGCCGUGCUUGCGCAGUUUGCGCUGCCCAACUUAAGCUUGUUGGAGUGCUAGCAUGGCAUCUACGUAGGUGUCCUGGCGUACAUAGUACAGCUUUAGUACCACCAGCAUGGCACUCAUGGCAGGGCUAGAGCUAUAUCCUAGCAUGGUUUCUCUCAUCUCUAAAGGCUCAUUUCAUAUAUGAGACACAAAUGUGUCGGUCACACUCACUCUAGAGAUGGAUCUAGCUGGGCCAUUCACUAGCUCAUCACCAUAAUCUUGGCAUAUCUCCAGCAAUACUUCUAAGGCUGCUACUUGGGCACCCUCCCAAGGAGUUUGGCCAUCGCACUCUACUACCCAACCUAGCCACUGUGGGUUAUUUGGACAAGGGGGAACUGUAAUUUGGACAUCUACCAAAGUUAAGGCUCCUGCAUGCUCAGACUCGGUCCAAGUGUACUUUGGUGGUUCCUCAUAUCCAACUGAACUUAGCACCCUCCACAACAAAGUAGGGGUGCCAAACAUGUCCAGGAAAGUCUCACUUGCGUGUGGGGCUGCCAUCUGUAGAAAGACCACAUUUGAGUAAGGGAGAUUAAUUACAAGGAAGGUAAAUAGAUAUAUUUUCAGAAUUUAAUACUUAAGUAGUGCAUAAGGAAUGUAUGAAUGAUUCAUGAUGCAUGCACGUUCCAUACGUCCUUUCCACUCCUAGGAGAAAGUUCUAACGGUAUAGUCGGUGGCAUACAUACGUGCACUCUUUAUACGCAACUACACGGUCUACACGUUUCGUUGUUAGUGUACCUGAAGAAAAUUUCAUUUCAGCCCAACCCACAAUAGUAUACGUGCAGAAAUGUAAAUCCAAUCAUGAACAAUCAAGCUAGAUACUCCGAUAUAUAUUCCCGAGCAUAUAUCGCAGCACACUACCCAUUUAGGAUACACCCACAUAUACAUCAAAUAUGUAUACAUGGCUGCACCUACUACCCACAAUUAAGUACCUUCAUAUCUACAUGUGUAAAACAUGUAAAUAUUCCAGUAACCACAGCUAACACUCCCCUAGACCGACGGUUGGACGGUCAUGCUCUCACAGCUCACACUUACCGUGGCGUAGAGGCAUAUAGAUCCACACAUUACCACUCAAGCAAGUGGCAUCCACACAAUUUCACACCGUAUGGACGACGAAAGAAAACAAACAAUGCUUACCAUGGCGUAGAGGUAUGUGAUCCAUUCAUUACCACUUAAGUAAGUGGGAUCCAUAUUAUUGCACGCCAUAUGGACGACGAAAGGAAAAAACCCCAUGUUAGUAAUAAUAAGCCACCUAAAAGUCCUUAUAUGGGCAUAAAGGGUGUGACCACUGUCAUGGUAUAAGUUAUAAAAACAUUUUUAAAACAGCCCUAUGUAUAGCCUAAUUUGCCAAAUUAGCUUGGGAAAACCAAAUUCAUUUGUUUUUAAAUACAUCUGUGAUGGUUAAAUGCUUAAUCUUGCUCUGAUGACAGCUGUAACAGAACUGUCCAAUUUAUAAGAAUUCAAGUGAAUUAGAGACCACGGAGGCAGUCAAGCCAAUGGACUUGAACCCAUAUAAACCCGGUAGUCCGACGAAUUCUCAAAAGACUUCGAUUCAACCAACAUACAACCAAGAUCAUACAUGAUCAAGCAUCGCCAUCACAGAUUACAUACACUCAUCACAGAACAUAGUUUUACAUCACAUCGGAGUUAAAAAGAGGUUAUUACAAACCAGAUUGGUAGCGGAAACAAAGUAGUUUUAAAACAUCACACACACCAUUUAAUUACAUGCCAGUUCCAUAGUCAAACCCAACAAAAGCACAACUGAAGAUAAAGAAGGUGAUCACGCACAUGAUCUAUUCAUCGUUCGCAGUCGGAUGAUGACAGUUAGCACAGUAGCCGUGGUACACGACAUCAUCUGCAACAAGGGUAAAUAAACCCUGAGUACGAGAAGGUACUCAUCUAGACUUACCCGUCAUAAACCAAAAAUAAAGUGACACCAAGGAGUAUGCAAGGCUGAUCUUUGUGGACUGGUUUGACUGACCUUUUUGCAUAAAAAGCCGUUGUUGUAAAUAAUGUAUAAUAUUUCAGCAGCAGGUUCAUUACUUAACAACUAUCCACUAGAUUAGCACCUGAUCUAAGCAUACACUUGAGUACUUAAGCAUCACAAUAAUAACCAUAUUCAGAUUUUCACAUAGCUAUUAACAUUCUUAUUAUAACCAUUAAGUUUAUUUAGUGAGUUCAACGUGCGACUACCCGUGCCAAGUUCUCACUAUCCGGGAGAGACGGCGAUUCAAAUCAAUUCCUAUCCAGCUGGAGGGGUAUUCCUAGCACUCACCCAAGCAUACUUCAUGAGGGCAGCUCGGAUCACCUUUAGCACAACUCCGGACCAAUUCGCGGGUCCGUACGGCGCCGCGCCCCAAGGACUGCCAAUCUGCCAGGGUCAGGACUCUAACCUGACACCUCGGUCUUACGCCAUUGACUCCCCGCACAUCCUUACUACCAACCGGGGUGCGCACUUUAACCAGAUCGGGGUAUCCGGCUGGAGAUGCACUCGUAGGCUUCGCGGUCGGAAUGACUUAUCCGGCCAGCUAAGUGUUAGGCAUGCGUUCAACAUGACACGAGGACGUUACAUCAAUCAGUCCUUAAUCGACACAGACGGGGAUAGGUUCACACCCAAGAACUCCAUACCUUGUUGCUGCACUAUCAUCAUCCCGCCUGGUCUCAAGUUUAUUAUUAGCACAUGGUUAUUUCCACGAUAGCAAAUAUAGCCAACCGUAAUCAGCAUCCACCUAUCUCUCGCGGGUGACAGGAAAUCACCCGGCUUCUACCGACCUAAGCAUGGCUAAGCAUUAUUUCGAUCCUGGACCUACUUAGGUAAGGUAUAAGGUGAACAAGGUAGUUAAUCAUGCAGCAAGGGUGUCAUAUCAAUGCCUAACACUUAAUGCAACAAUACAUAACCAUAGUCAAUUGAUAGCGGAACAUGAUAAUAAAAUAGUAGGAGGCUUAUAAUGCUCCGGGGCUUGCCUUCGACGUUGGUGGACGGGCGAUGGUCGGGACACUCCGGCAAGUCCUCCUCCUCCUCAGUUCCUUGAGGUGGCUCCCCUUGUUGACCUUCCGACUCCGGCAGCUCGAACUCCAACACGGUCACGCCCUUGGGUACACCUAUGUAUGCAAGACAAGGGAAUGAAUAUAGAGAAUGCACAUAUGAUGCAUGAUGUCAUGAUGAAGAGCCAAAGGAACAUAAAACAAGGUAUAACAUGAGCAUACACUCCUAAAAUUAAGUGAAUCAUAGGAUAACAAGUAAGUGCAUACUUCUACUCUGGUAGAGAGGCUAACUAGACAAGUUAAACAACCUUAGUCACUCCUAUUCAGCCACUGGUUUUGCAGACAGACCAACUUGUCACAAGUUUCGGCUAUAACUUAAGCAUCAUUUGGUCAAACUAAGCAAGUAGAUACUUUCUGGAAAGCUUAGUAAAUUUUCUACAAUUUUCUUUCAGACAUCCCAGAAUGAUUCCCAACCGAAAUAUGCUAAAUCAUAGAAAGUUGUCUGGCUGCCCUGGAAACUCCAGAGAGCAAGCACUUUACAGCAGCCACUUGUAACAUUCAUAGCUUUUAAACUACUCAACCAAAUGUCAUGAAACUUGGAUACGAAGUGGAUAAGCAAGUUAGCUACAAGUUUGUUAUAGACAAGUUUCCCAGAAAACAUAAUCUUCAAUUAAUUAUUAAGCAAUUGCUAUCAGCUACCCAGAAUUGCUCUAGGAAAGGCAUAAAUAGCAAAAAUAAUAUUCUGCACAUAAUAAAAAUGUAUCAAAGGGUCAAUCCAAUUGUACCAGUAGAUGGAACAUGUCUAAGAAACACUAGAAAACAUCAUGGCAAGGUCCAAACUUAUUUCUAUCAUCACCUUUUUCAUUUAUUUAGUUAUUAAGGUGAUUUAAUGAACAUGCAUCCAAAGUGCUCCAAGAAUUCUAAGAAAAUUACAGCAAGCUACUUAUGCCAACAUGAGGUUGAUGUAAAAUUUUUAGGGCACUUGCACAUACAGCUUGUGAGAUACAAACUAGCAAGGGCAUGCAAGGCAUAAAUGUGAAAUCUUAUCAAAAAGUGUCAAACAACAGAUGUCAGAUUUUUCCUAGCUUUGUUUACCCAUGAGUACAACACUCAGCAAGUUUCACCACAAAAGAAGCUAUAACUUAUUUAUUAAAAAUACCAAAAGAAACUCCUAUUUGAUCAAGAAUUAUUUAUAACUUCACAAUCAGGCCUCCAAAAAUCAUGAUAAAUUUAUCAGAGCCUAUUCAUAUCAUAAAUAACAACACCCUAAAUUUACAUGGCCAACAGAUCAACAGAUCUCAAGAUAUAAUUACCUCCUAAUAAACAAAGAUUAAGUUAUAUCUAUUUAUUUCCACAAAAAACAUGGCAUGUUUCAUAUUUUUAUUAAAAACUAGACUUAUACAGGAACCUUACAAAAUUGGAACCACAUCAUUUGGAUCUAUAAAACUCCAGAUAUGAAUUUUCCAAAAACAGCAAAGAAUCUGCUACACAGUGACCGGAGAUGUGAGAGGGAGAGACUGACACCCGGGACCCACGCGACAGAGAGACAGAGACAGGGGAGACGCUCGUCGCCGGCGAAACUCGACGACGGCAAGGUCUCGGUCGGAUCCAAGGGCACCUACGUGUUUUUCUCAUCAAGGCGACUAUGUUGACCUACUUCACUCACGCUCUACUGGACCCUAGGGUGCUCGCCGUCGGGAAUGGCGGCUCGGCGGCACUGCGGGCGAUACGUCGGCGUGCACGGCCGAUGCCGUCCCGGUUGAGGUUCACGCCGAGCAUCAGUGAGCCAAGGGAAAGCGAUAGGAACAAGAAUAGAGGGAAAUAGUGGAGCAGAGAGGCCUGGCCACGUCGCCGGUGAGCUCGGGCGGAACUCCAGCGAGGGAGAACGGCUCGGAGCUCGGCAAUGCCGCCUCACCUGUGCUCGACAGUGGCCAAGGAGGUGACGCCGAGGCAGGGGAAGCUUUGUUGGAGCUCUUGGCGGGCUGGCUUGGCUAGAGGCGUGGUGGAGCGGCCGGAAAAGCUCGCCGAGACGCGGCGGAGCUCACCGAGGCGAUGGCGGAGCGAAAUGGGAGGCUCUGGUGGAGUGGAGGUCGCGUCUGAGGCACGGGGUGGCGUCGUGGCGUCCAAGUGAAGGCGUCGGGGCUGACAGGCGGUGUCGCCGUCGACGUACAGCCACCACGGGUUGUCCACGCGUCGGCCGCCGGUGACUGACGAAACUGAAUCGCGCGACUCAGUCGUCGUCGACCGUGUCUGAAACCGAAAGUGUACCGACAUUUUACUCUCAACUCAGUCGAUGGUUUUGGCUCGAAUUUGAUCCUUUGGACAGAGCUACACGAGUCCUACAAGUUUGCUUACAAGAUCAAAGCCUAACUUGGUCUAGAUUUCAAUCUACAAGGCUCCCAACAACCCUACCUCGAAACUGUGUGAUUCAAGACUUAGCCAAAUUCGGCUAAGUGUGAAAUCAGCCCUGAUUUUUGGCUUGUAAGUAAAUUUUGGAUGUGUUCUAAGCUUUUUCGUAAAAUGUCAUCAACAUACCUUUUGUAGCUUAUGCAAUUUACUACAACUUUGUUUCAGGUGUCACAGACAUGCAAGGUUUCUAACAUUAUUUUCAUAAAACAUCUUUGAAGAAAGGUCUAGGGGGACAAUUAGGUCAACCUAGGGUUAACCAUGACAUAGAGACAUUUUUGGCCAAAACCUUCAACAUGAACUUUGUUCAAAAUGAUGUUCUAAACAUAAUUAAAGUAUUUUGGAAGACAAUGUACACUUGUAUGCCUUAGUCACCCAUUACAAUCAACCAUAGCAAGUCAUGUAGCAAUUUAAUCACAUAGUACAUGUAGCAAAUGGCAUGUGAUCAUGGUAUGAUGCUCAUGAGUGAUCAUGAUGAUGCUUAUAUUGAUGCAAUGCUCAUGGUUAACAUGCAAGCUAACACUAGGAGUGUUACAAAGUGAAUCUUGAUUUUAACCGCAAGACAAGCUCCUAAGGGUCUACAUAGCUUGACCACACUCAAUGCUCAUAAGCAGUAAAAAGUAAAUGUAUGGCUCAAAGUCUAGGAAGCAUGUAUAUAUGGCUGCGGUAGGAAUUUAAACUCUCAUCAUACAGGAACUCAUCAUGCAACAUUUUAAAGAUUUUCAAAGAUAAAAUUCUCAAGAAUUCUAGCAUCUCUAGUAACAGAUAAACAGCAGCUCAACCUUCCCAUAUCGUAUCCAUUAACGACUUAGACUUUAGAUCAAGUACUCUUCCCACAAGUUCAGGUUUAGAGCAAAUCUUAAUUAAUAACAGUCAUGCCUAAACUUGAGAGAGAUUUCAAUUUUGAGAACUAGUCAUGGCAGAGCAACUAUUCAUCAUUUCCAUGUGAGAGCUUAUCAUGAGGGUUCAUAGCAAACUUUAUUUAUUUAACAAACUAAGCAAAUAUAUAUAUAAGCACAAAAUCUUUAAUUGGGUUUUUAUGAUUAUGCAUCUUUUCAUUAUUUGAGUAAAGUAUAAACAUGAGUAGAACACUUAGCUGGAUAAAUGGGGUGCUCUCCUCCAAGCUGGAUUUUGACGUAAUUUCUUCUGAUGUAGCUAGCAGAUGGCGGUGGUGUAUUUGAAUGUCGGCAGCACCCUGACAGCGAUUAGGAUGUCCUCCGUCUGCUAGUCUUCUUUGAUCCUUGAAUUCUGUGG